UAGGUGCUGGAUCCCAGGAUUGUUAGCGUC
rnacentral:piRNA from 1 species